UAAGAUGUGCCGGAUGUGAGCAGUGCUCAGUU
rnacentral:piRNA from 1 species